GUUGCAUUUAGCGUGGGUGAUAAUGAAAGGAAAUUUCUAAUGUCCCCGAACGCUGCACACUCAAGUAUUGGAUGUAAUGUCAACAAAUCAAGGUUAUUUGUGGAAUUUUACUGCAUACCUUCUUCCGUACAACUCACAAAUAGUUGGUGGAAGUUGCUGUGAGAAAUCUCCACAAGUUACAAAGCAAUGUUGAGACGGAUGGAGUGCGAGCUGAGUAGAGAAUUCUCCAACAGCGAAGAAAAACGUUGAGGAGGCUGUUUGUCAUGGUUGUUGGAAAAGGCAAAUACUACACUCUUAUUGACGAUUUAUUGCGGCCGUUGACAAGUGUGCAUUAAUUUUGAUUGCCCAAAAAGUUGAUUAUUUUGAAUAAAAUUAAUGAGGCGAUUUUUGUAAUUUUUCCGGAAAACUAACAAAAAUUGAAUGCUUGAUUUGCUGAGUUCUCAAAUGCCAUGAUUCAAUAAUAAAAGACUUUGCAAAGUUAGACAACUGAU